UAGCGUGAUUGCUAUCACAAGAAGAACAAGCCAGAACGAAAUGCGAGGUUGCUGGAACGAUUAUAGCGAAAAGGAAGAACAUCGACCAUGAUAAUCCGGCCGUCCAAAUGUCGGAUUGAUCGACGCACAUCCACCGCAGGUUGAAUGAAAAGGGAUUACAGAGAAGAAUGGGGAAAGAGGAACAAUAGAAGAACCCUUGUGACUUUGGGGGUUUUUUAUUUUAUAUUUUGUUGAAGAAGAUCAAGGACCCUCAGCCAAGGAACGUAUGCCACGUGGCGAUAUGAAUAUUUCACUAUAUUAUUAGAAUAAUACUACUUUUAUUAAAUUUUGUUCUUAA